AUUAAGUGGCAGAAAUAUGCAUCAAGUUUAAGCUUUGAAGAUGGGGUUUCCCCCUUAAUC
rnacentral:tRNA from 1 species